rfam:Triticum urartu cultivar G1812 contig300911, whole genome shotgun sequence.
UUUGUACUCCCUCCGUUCCAAAUUACUCGUCGUAGAAAUGGAUGUAUCUAGAACUAAAAUACAUCUAGAUACAUCCAUUUCUGUGAUGAGUGAUUCGGAACGGAGGGAGUAAGUC